GACGUUUAUCUGUUCUGUUUUGAUUCUGCUUGUUAUUCUGAAUAGUGAAAUUGCUUUACGGACGGUGAAAUAGACUGCAAUGAGCUGACGAUGAUUAUUCAGAUUCUCAAUUUACUCAAAUAUUCCUAGAUGUGCGGGUGGAGUUAUGCAUGCUGUAGCAAAUAAGGGUAUUUGUGUAGCCUGAACGAGAGAUUCCGAGGCGCGACGAAGGGAUUGCUUGUAGUUUCGAGAUGUUUUUGAAGUCAAUCCCCCCUCCCCGCGGAGCUCGAAGCUACCAAACUAAAAUCCACACCAAAUAAAAUAAUGCCGUAUAUCGAGUUCAAAAAUAUUAUAAGAGAAAAAAAAGAAAAGCAAAUGAUAAAUGAAUGAAAGAUAAAUGGGAAAAAAGAUAAUAAUAGAAAUAAAAAAUGCUUAUUUACC